GCGUGGUCUCUGGGCGGCCUGGGGCCGAGCCUCCGUCCCCCCGCCGGGCCCGCUGCGGGCCGCCCGCCGCUGGGCGGAAGGGAGCUGCGGGGAAAGGCGGCGAGCGAGCGCGGGCCGGGAGCGCCCCGGGCUGGCCGAGGAGCGGCUGGGGGGAGGCGCUCCCGGUGCGAGGCUGCGGGGGUCCGAGCAGCUCUGCAGGGCUGCGGAAGGACGUCGCACCCCAGGAAGGCAAUCAGGCGCGCUUCCCGUGCCCCGAAACACGUAGCGCCUUUAGCGAGCGAGGAGCGCGGCCCUUCCGAGGUUAAUUAGGGAAACGCAAUUACCGCGGUGCGGGUGUCGCCCGAGCUCUGCUGUGCCCGGCAGCCCCGGCCGUCCCGCCUUCGGCGCGGCUGUGCCCGGGCCCUGCGCCCUAGAGCCGGCCGGGGCCCGGAGCUCCGAGGCGAGCGGCCCUGGCUGCAGCAAACCGCUUCGUCCUCUGCUCUUCGACGGCACCGUAGUGAAGCUGGGGCUUCCGCUUCUUCACGUAAAAACAAUUCUCGUUUCAGUGGGAACGAUUUUGAAAUUAUCAUCAUAGAUGAUGGAAGCCCGGACGGGACGCAGGAAAUUGCUGAACAAUUGCAAAAGAUAUAUGGAUCAGAUAAAAUAGUGAGUUGCGUAUUCUGUAUUUCUUUUUUUCCAUUUGUGUCGUACUGGAAAGUACUUGAAGUCCUUAGAGAACUGGAAUGGCGUUCCUGGAUUCUGCACUUUCUUUACAUCCCUAAACAAGUUAUUUAAGUUUUUGCACGCCACUUGAGACAAAUGUAAAAUCGUGAUAUCCCUGCAGCUGCUCAGCAGCAUUCUGAAUAUGUGGAAUCAUGAAUUAAUGUUUGAAAAAUGUUUUCAAUGCUUUGUGCGUGGCUGUGUGCUAUUGAGCAAUGACUAGUGGUUGUUAGUGUACUUUGUGCGUGCCUGAGGGAAAGAUGAGGUUUGGAUAACUCUUAAUUUCAUUGUAACUGACUGCAGGAAGAGGUAAAUUGGGAAGAUGAAAGCGAGUCUGCUCUUGUCAUUUAUUUUUCAUCUGUCUAGUUGCAUUCCUCAAUAACAGGGCUUUUUUUUUUCUAUUUAAUAUAUUAUGGUAUAACCAUCAAUUAUAUACAACAAGAUACUGUCAUUCGUUUAGUCUUUAUGAGCCACUGAAGCCACAUUUUUGGCAAUAAAAGUUUAUCCCGGAACAGUGUAACAACCCAAUGUUCAGUUUGCACUGUAAGCAGUCAGACGCUUUCUUAAUCUAUUACUGUGUAAAUGCAAGGUGUUAAAAAGUAUUUGUGAAUGAAGUGCCACUGAUAGAGAUUGCUUUAACAACAAUGUAUAUAGGAAGCUUUAGAGUCUUUUUUCCUUUUUUUUUUCUUCUUUGUUGAUACCAGUAACAGAAGAGUUUAAAAUAGUUACCCAGCGGUUUGCUCACUGCUUAAGAGUUUCAUUUUGAAGGUUAAUCUGUGGGCCUACCCCUGCAGCAGUGUUAAGCCAAGCACACUUGAGUCAAGUUUCUAUUCAGUACUAAAGCGCUUUGGGAAGCUUGCUAGAACAUUUGCUGUUAGUGUUUGUCAUUCCUUAAAAGUAACGGUGCUGGGGAGACUGUGUUCAGAUUUAUACCUGUCUUUUGGAUAGUGGAAUUUGAGGAAAUCCUUUCGUUACUAAGAUGGUGCUUUUAAUUUUGUUUUCUUUUUUACUUCAGAUCUACUAAGUAAAGCUUAAAAGGAGUUUGUUUUUAAAUAUGACCUGACCAAAUACCUGUUUAAUAUAAUGGUUUGUUUUUCCUGUAUUUUGACAGAUAAAUUUAUUUUUAUAUGUUAUCUAGAUUUCUAAAAAUGAAAAGUACACUUUAAAAAUAUUUUUAUACCCUGAAAAGGUGUCACUAAAAUUAAUUAAAAACUGUACUUCAAGUAAUAUAUGUAUAUUUUAAUAUAUCCUGCAGCUUCUAAGACCCAGAGCAAGAAAGUUGGGCCUUGAGUGAGGAGUCGAAGUUGAAGAAAAAUGUACCAUUUUACAAGAGUAGCUGCUGGUUUUGUGUGGAACCUACUGACCCAGAGGGGACAGCAGAGCUUUCUGUGCAAUCUACCUGCGUGCAGGAUGCUCCAGAAAUUGGACCUUAGUUCGGGCAAUCUCCAGAGAAGGCUGGAUGUUUUCCUGACACGUAUUUGGACAGUGAAAUUCACGUUUCAGUGUGAAUUAUGACUCUAACAAUACGUAUCUGACAGAUGUCCAGCACUGAUUACUAAGUAUUGUCUCACCUAUUAACUAACGUGAAUUGAAGGCUUUGAAGUACAUUGCAGGUGUUACUCGUGUUGCAGAAAUCUCACUCAUUUGGGAGCCAAUCUCGUACCACUGAGAUUGAUCAUUAAACUUUGCAUGGAAUGGUGCAGGACUGCAAUUUUAUAGCUCUGAUGCCAUGUUUCACAGAAUAUGUAAAUCAAGUUUGUCAUUAUUUGCUUUAGAAAAAAAGCAGAUCCCUAGGAAAUCAUAAAUGACAUAUAAAACUUGUAGUAUGGAA